UUCUAGAGCUAAUACAGCAAAACUCCGACCAGCAUUUAUAAAACCAAUGGUGACUCUCAAUGACUUUGCUGACCACAUUAGCACUGGGGACACACCUAUUUUGUGUCUGCCCAAUCAACUUUCGAUGGUAGUUUAUGUGCCUACCAUGGUGGUAACGCGUAACGGAGAAUCCGCGAAGGAGACCUCAGAGCGUGGAGGAAGACUCCCUCCUUCGUCAAGGGC
rnacentral:rRNA from 1 species